rnacentral:rRNA from 1 species
GAUGAACGCUGACAGAAUGCUUAACACAUCAGCGACGGAUUGGUGGGGGACGGGUGAGUAACUCGUACAGAACUUGCCUCACAUCUAGGGACAACAUUUGUAAACGAAUGCUAAUACCUAAUACUGUGAGAGAGCUUUGCGUCCCAUUAGCUAGUUGGAGAGGUAACGGCUCACCAAGGCGAUGAGGGGUAGCCGGCCUGAGAGGGUGAUCGGCACCAAGGGGACUGGGACACGGACCUUACGCCUCCGGGGGGAAGCGGGGGGGAUUAUUGGACAAUGGACCAAAGUCUGAUACAGCCAUUCUGUGGGCAAGAUGGAGUUUUCGGUAUGUAAAGUGCUUUCAGUUGAGGAGCGGUACCAACAGAAGAAGCGACGGCUAAAUACGUGCCAGCAGCCGCGGUAAUUC